UUUGCAUGAAUGUGUGUGACGGCCGGUGCAUGUGUUUUCUUAAAAGUUUAGCUUGACUGCCUAGCGGGCAGGGGAAGCAACGGCCGGUGAAGGGCUGGGGACCACCCGUGUAAGAGGGUUUGGGAUUUGUGACAGUGCUGGGACCACCUUGUGAGAUAGGGUUGGGGAAUUAUAGACAGCUGGUGAAGGGCUGGGACCACCCGGUGAGAUAGGGUUGGGGAAUUAUAGAUAGCCGGUGAAGGGCUGGGGACCACCCUGUAAGACAGGGUAGGGGUAUUGUGAACAGCCGGUGAAGGGCUGGGGAUAUUUGUGAAACACCUGUGUAGAAGUGAG